rnacentral:rRNA from 1 species
UACGUAGGGGUGCGAGCGUUUGUCCGGAAUUACUGGGCGUAAAGAGCUCGUAGGUGGUUUGUCGCGUUGUUCGUGAAAACUCACAGCUUAACUGUGGGCGUGCGGGCGAUACGGGCAGACUGGAGUACUGCAGGGGAGACUGGAAUUCCUGGUGUAGCGGUGGAAUGCGCAGAUAUCAGGAGGAACACCGGUGGCGAAGGCGGGGUCUCUGGGGCAGUAACUGACGCUGGAGGAGCGAAAGCGUGGGGAGCGAACAGG